GAGAGCAGAGAGCAGGUUAGACUGACGACAUUACCAACUAGCACCUUCUCCCCCUGGCAGAGAGCAGGUUAGACUGACGACAUUACCAACUAGCAUCUUCUCCCCCUGGUAGAGAGCAGGUUAGACUGACGACAUUACCAACUAGCACCUUCUCCCCCUGGUAGAGAGCAGGUUAGACUGACGACAUUACCAACUAGCACCUUCUCCCCCUGGUAGAGAGCAGGUUAGACUGACGACAUUACCAACUAGCACCUUCUCCCCCUGGUAGAGAGCAGGUUAGACUGACGACAUUACCAACUAGCACCUUCUCCCCCUGGUAGAGAGCAGGUUAGACUGACGACAUUACCAACUAGCACCUUCUCCCCCUGGUAGAGAGCAGGUUAGACUGACGACAUUACCAACUAGCACCUUCUCCCCCUGGUAGAGAGCAGGUUAGACUGACGACAUUACCAACUAGCACCUUCUCCCCCUGGUAGAGAGCAGGUUAGACUGACGACAUUACCAACUAGCACCUUCUCCCCCUGGUAGAGAGCAGGUUAGACUGACGACAUUACCAACUAGCACCUUCUCCCCCUGGUAGAGAGCAGGUUAGACUGACGACAUUACCAACUAGCACCUUCUCCCCCUGGCAGAGAGCAGAGAGCAGGUUAGACUGACGACAUUACCAACUAGCACCUUCUCCCCCUGGUAGAGAGCAGGUUAGACUGACGACAUUACCAACUAGCACCUUCUCCCCCUGGCAGAGAGCAGGUUAGACUGACGACAUUACCAACUAGCACCUUCU